rnacentral:rRNA from 1 species
UACGUAGGGUGCGAGCGUUAAUCGGAAUUACUGGGCGUAAAGCGUGCGCAGGCGGUUUUGUAAGCCAGAUGUGAAAUCCCCGGGCUUAACCUGGGAAUUGCGCUCGAAACUACGUGGCUCGAGUGUGGCAGAGGAAGGUGGAAUUCCACGUGUAGCGGUGAAAUGCGUAGAGAUGUGGAGGAACACCGAUGGCGAAGGCAGCCUUCUGGGCCAACACUGACGCUCAUGCACGAAAGCGUGGGGAGCAAACAGG